AUCCAGUUGUUGAGUCCCAAAUAGGACGAAAUGCGCAUCCUGGAU
rnacentral:hammerhead_ribozyme from 1 species